GCGGAACAGAGAAGGAGCUUGCUCCUUUGACGUUAGCGGCGGACGUGGUGAGUAACACGUGGGCAACCUACCUUAUAGUUUGGGAUAACUCCGGGAAACCGGGGCUAAUACCGAAUAAUCUGUUUCACCUCAUGGUGAAAUAUUGAAAGACGGUUUCGGCUGUCGCUAUAGGAUGGGCCCGCGGCGCAUUAGCUAGUUGGUGAGGUAACGGCUCACCAAGGCGACGAUGCGUAGCCGACCUGAGAGGGUGAUCGGCCACACUGGGACUGAGACACGGCCCAGACUCCUACGGGAGGCAGCAGUAGGGAAUCUUCCACAAUGGGCGAAAGCCUGAUGGAGCAACGCCGCGUGAGUGAAGAAGGAUUUCGGUUCGUAAAACUCUGUUGUAAGGGAAGAACAAGUACAGUAGUAACUGGCUGUACCUUGACGGUACCUUAUUAGAAAGCCACGGCUAACUACGUGCCAGCAGCCGCGGUAAUACGUAGGUGGCAAGCGUUGUCCGGAAUUAUUGGGCGUAAAGCGCGCGCAGGUGGUUUCUUAAGUCUGAUGUGAAAGCCCACGGCUCAACCGUGGAGGGUCAUUGGAAACUGGGAGACUUGAGUGCAGAAGAGGAUAGUGGAAUUCCAAGUGUAGCGGUGAAAUGCGUAGAGAUUUGGAGGAACACCAGUGGCGAAGGCGACUAUCUGGUCUGUAACUGACACUGAGGCGCGAAAGCGUGGGGAGCAACAGGAUUAGAUACCCUGGUAGUCCCCGCCGUAAACGAUGAGGGCUAAGUGGUUA
rnacentral:rRNA from 1 species